AAGCAAAGACUUGGAGGGAGGAGGGUGGAAUCAAGUUAUUUCGAACGUUUCAAGCCCCUUUUCCUCCCACCUAUUCCACCUCUCCCAGUCACUUGGAAACCACACAGACUCUCAGCCUAGAUGGAAGCGCAGGGAGAAAGAGGGUUUCUAGGUGACCGGCGAAACCAGCCCCUACAUUUCCAGUCCACCUAUCGUGGUUAAAUCUAGGCGCUGCUGGAAAUAGAAAUACGCUGAGUGCUUUCGUGCUAAACCGGGCAAGGAUGCUGUGCAGGUGGAUAGCCGGGGCAGCCAGCGAGGAGCACGAGAGGAACGAGGCGGUCUCUAAUGGUCAUCUUCGAAAAGAAUGCAGCUUUGCAAAGAAUGACCUUUACCAGGUGAAAGACAUUUUUGUGGUUAACCUAAGAAGGAGAAUAUCUGUUUAUUAACUAAUAGCAAAACUGUAGUGCUCGAUGGCAGCAGGAGCAGCAUCAUAUUUCAGUUUGAACGGCUGCUAUCUCCACGGCCAGACCUGGCAAUCCUUUUUGAAUUUACACACAGAAUGGGCCCAGACAAGAAGAUGUGAUUCAGCAGCGUCCCUAGAAAGACUUUUAUACCCUUUUAUACUGCAGCCACACCUAUGUGGCCACCCGUGAGUCAGCAGAGCAGAAAUUAAAUUUUCAAUGAGUCCAGUGAAUUCAGCAGGCAAAUAGAACUUGUCAUUUUCUGGUAAUUCAGUUCCCUGCUGUGUCGCUGACCUUGGGCAAGGUAUUCAGCUUUCCAAUGUGUCAUCUUCUAUGUUAAAUGGAUUUAAGAAGACCUAAUCAUCACAAGGUAUUCUGUAGACCUCAGUGGAGCUGCAGCUGUGGAAAUGAAGGGAGAAUUUAGCGCACAGCCCUGCCACAAUAUUCUGGGGUUCUCCGAUGACUUUUGACCAAAAUGAAAUAUAAAUUAUGCAGGGACCUGCUAACAUUUAAUUAAGUGAAGCCUCUUGCUGUUUUGAGAACAAUUUCUUAACAAGCAGAAUUAGCAGAAAUAUUCUGCUGGUGUAGCUUCUCCAGGCAGAGCUGGUCUCUCCCCAUCCCUGUAAGGCUGUAAACUCUUUCUGUGUUUUAUGAAUCAUUUAUCCCCUAAUUUCUCAUAUUUUGGGUGCAAUUUCCCCUUUGCUUAGCUCUGGAGAAGCCAUGCAUCUAACAGGGCAAGAUGAUGGCUGUUAUUUUUUGUACACCCAUGAUCUGAAUUGCUUAGUAGCUUAAGCCACUUUGCAACUGUACAAACACACUGUGAGCAGUAGGAAUGCACUUAUGUCCCCAAGGACCUAAUCUGGCUUGCAAAACUUCCACUAGUGGCACAGAUGUGCAAAAACCAAAAAUCCAUCUUUGUUCUCUGUUUGCAUUUGCAGAAUGUGGAUUUAGCUAGAAAAUAAUAUAUUAGCAUUUAUACAUCGAUUUGUGUUCACAUUCUCAAAGCAUUUUAUUUACAUUGAGUAGUAAGAAUCAUAUCAGUUUAUAUUUCAUAUUUGAAAGCGGAGCCAAAAAGUGACAAAGUGUUUCCUUCAAAAUCAUGCAGCAAGUCAGUCUUGGAGAGAAAUGUGCCUGUUCCACUAGACCGUGUUUGUAUAUAUCUUCUUAUUUAUGAACAGCUGUGACUAUUAGAAUCUAUUAUUUAUAUUUCCACUAAGCUUAUUUUUCCCCCCUCGCAGCAGACACUCUGCAGAGGAGAAUUGUUGUCAUUUUUUCUGCAGGUACUGUGAUUCACUGGGGUAUUAUGGGCAGUGAUGAAGCAGCACUGCAGGUACUGCUCAGCAAGGAUCUUUGUAAAGCCAUUUCAAAUGUGUUACUUAAAACCAGUGCAGCACUUUAAAAAAUAAUUAAAAGGGUGUGGGCUGAGUGAUGAAAUAGCUCAGAAAAAGAUGGUAGAAAAAGUUGGUUCUGCUUGCAUCACUGACCCCACACCAUCAAGCAUUUUCAAGCAGUGUCAGUGCUCGUCCUCACUGCCAGCAGCUCCAUUUCCAUGCAUGCUCUGUCCCAACAACACAUCCACUGAGAGCUGCUUCCAGCCAGGAGGGAGAAUCUGUCACCUGUCCACACUAGUGGCCUGAGGUUUACACUGCUUACAAGCAAAUUUCAAAAAGCCCAGAGGAUUGGCUUCAGGCCCAGAAUUUCAAAUGGUCAGAGUUUGGCACCUCACUAAAGAAAACAAUAAUAAAAUGCCAGAAAUGAUCACUGGCAAGCUGCAGAGAUGUCUAGCAGAGAAAAAGUGUGUAAGGUACUGGGGCUGCCUGCCCUGUGAUCAGUGCUGGAGCUGUGCUUCAGGGAGAUGGUGAAGCAGGUUGUGUGAAGAAUAAGUGCCUAAACUAACUAGCACUGACUGAAGACACAGACAUCUGUUUUCAAUUUGCACGGAGCUGCUAAUUUUUAAAGGACGAAUUAGCAUAUAUCUAAUUUUAACUAGGGAGUUGUAAUUGGUAUUUUCAGAAAAUGUGGUGGUCGCUGCAGGCUUUGGAAAGCAAGAUCUGGGUUCCAGUCCUGCACUGGUCACCUGGAGGAACAAACCCCUUUGGCCAGCAAGAGUAGGUGAGACACAAGAACCAUCACAGGUUCUGUUCAGUAGGAAAAAAAAACUUUGAAAUCCAGCCACCCUUUCCCCCCUCUCUCAGAAAACAACUUGAUUUGCUCUUGCAGAAUGCAGCAUUCUGGUUUUUCCCCUGAGCAGCAACAGAUGGAUUUCAAAGAAAUCUCCACUAUUACAACAGUACUUCAGCCCCUCUGCUGCUCCUUCCUCCUCAGAAAACCAGCAGCUGAUUUAAUGCAAGGGUUUCUCCUUUAUGGUCUGUUUCAGCUCUAGAAUGGAUAUCCUAUUUCCUGAACUCCUCAGCUUUACCUUCCAGUUUUCUCAGCCUCAGGGGUGCUGUAUCUCACUGCAGCCACCUCCCAGCACCUGAGAGCAUCCAUCACGCGCCGAGGGCUGGGGAGCAGCUUCUCCAGUGGCUCCAGGAGCAGGUUUGGAACUGAGUGCUUCCUUGUGGUGCUGAAACAUGAAAAACCAGCAGUGUGGUGCAUUACCCACCCCUGACAAGCACUUGGAAUACCUUCCUGAGGCUCUGGCAACAUGCCUCUAGCUUGUCAUGCCAGUAAGACGUUUUUAAAGUGAAUUGGAAUUGAAACAUUAGCUCAGUUCCCAGAGGGGGUGGUUUAGUCUUUUAAGCAUCACUUUUAAAAUACCCAAAUGCUUUCAGUCUUGUGAGAUGCACUGAGCCUUUCACUAUUCUGGAAUACAGGUAGUGAAUCUCUUACAAGUUAUUCAACAGGUUUUCUUUUCAGAUGAGACCUUGGAAACCAAGCGAUGCACCUUGUAGCAACUUUGGGGUAGAGAUGUCUCCUGUUUAGCUCUAUACAGAAGUAACUUACAAAAUUUCAAUCAUCAUUUUCUCUGGUCACCUCUACAUUGUUUAAUGGAUCACAGCAUGCAGUGAUAGUCACUUUUUAGAUUAGCAAGCUGAACCUUGGUCACUCCCGACACAGCUUUCUGCCAGCUGCAUAUCCUCUGACAGCUCUUUAUGUUGGUUGAGCUUGUCCCUAUCAGCAGUUGCUUUAAAGUGGUCAGGCAGGCUGUGUAUAUAAUUUGUAAAGUAAUUUGCAAUUAUUUGGAGUGAAAACUGCAAUACAAUGUAGUAUCAUGAGCCAGACACUCAGCAUAAUUCUAUUAACCCAAGAUCUGUUCCAGAUAAGGAUGUGGUGGGUUAAAUAUACUCCUAUAGCAGCCUAUGACAUGCUCUUCAAAAUGGACUUUUCCUAAAUAAUAACUGAAUGGACUUUUCCUAAAUAAUAAUUGAAUUCAUCCUGGUUUACAGGAAUUUUUUUAUGUGUGAAGUUUUGCAUUCUGGGUGGAGCAGCCCCUUCCCCCAGAGAUGGCUCUGUUAAUCCUGUGGGAUAAGCAAGGGUGGUACUUCCAACAGGACACUAGAUUCUCAUAUCUGCCUAACAUCAGGCAGAUUCCAGGCUCUAUUCCCAUGCCACAAUAUCUCCAUUCAUCACGCUCUUGUUUGGCUAUGGGGGAAUAAAGACAGCUUAGAAGUCCUGCUGGGAGGAAAUGUGUGACUUAAGUUUUGAUUUAACGGCCAGAUUGUGACUUCUUUUUGAUAAGGAACAUGGGAAGGGAAAUUUUUAGAGAUGCCCUUAAGUCCUUGCAGAGGGAGGCCAAGGCCAGAGCUGUGUCACAAGCUCUGAAAAGCCAGGCCCUCCUCCUCUGCCUGCCAGCUGUCCUGGAGGCUUGCUGCAAGGCAGAACACCUCCUGUACCUUCCCACCUUCUGGAAUUCCUCUUUCUUUAGGGCUGGGGGAGUGAGCUGAGGGUGUUUUUCCUCGGUGUGUUGCUGACAUGGCAUCUCUUCUCUGGUGCAGUCUCCUUACCAAGUCUGGCUCUGCUCUUUGUCCCUGGAGGAGGAAUCAGAGAUCACAGGGGCUGACGGGGAGGAGGAAGAAGAGCUGCAGAGAGAUAUCUGAUAUUCUGGCAGAGGAGCAACAACAGUUCUCAUGGGGAUCUCUGUAUGCUGAACUUGGACAAAAUAUCUGUGUUCCAUUUUUAAACAAAAAAAACCCAAAAAACAACCCAACUCCAAACCAAACAAAAAAACCCCCAAAAAACCACAAAAACCCCCCCCAGCAACAAAAAAUGCUUUUUGCAAUUUGGUUUUGCUUUCACCUCCUGCCUUUACC